rnacentral:rRNA from 1 species
UCCGUAGGUGGAUAAUUAAGUCAGAGGUGAAAUCCUGCAGCUCAACUGUGGAAUUGCCUUUGAUACUGGUUAUCUUGAGUCAUUAUGAAGUGGUUAGAAUGUGUAGUGUAGCGGUGAAAUGCAUAGAUAUUACACAGAAUACCGAUUGCGAAGGCAGAUCACUAAUAAUGUACUGACACUGAGGGACGAAAGCGUGGGGAGCGAACAGGAUUAGAUACCCUGGUAGUCC